rnacentral:rRNA from 1 species
CCUACGGGAGGCAGCAGUGGGGAAUAUUGGACAAUGGGGGGAACCCUGAUCCAGCCAUGCCGCGUGUGUGAAGAAGGCCCUCGGGUUGUAAAGCACUUUCAGUGAGGAAGAACGCCUGGUGGUUAAUACCCAUCAGGAAAGACAUCACUCACAGAAGAAGCACCAGCUAACUCCGUGCCAGCAGCCGCGGUAAUACGGAGGGUGCGAGCGUUAAUCGGAAUUACUGGGCGUAAAGCGCGCGUAGGUGGCUUGAUAAGCCGGUUGUGAAAGCCCCGGGCUCAACCUGGGAACGGCAUCCGGAACUGUCAAGCUAGAGUGCAGGAGAGGAAGGUAGAAUUCCCGGUGUAGCGGUGAAAUGCGUAGAGAUCGGGAGGAAUACCAGUGGCGAAGGCGGCCUUCUGGACUGACACUGACACUGAGGUGCGAAAGCGUGGGUAGCAAACAGGAUUAGAUACCCCAGUAGUC